CUUCCUCAGUUGCUCUGGUUGAUUGUAGUUCAUAAUCUGUAUUGAUAUCCAAUCUUUUGCGCCCUUUUUUUGCUCUCCUCUCCCUGUUCGCGGCAUUUUUGUUUCCGCGUUCCACCGGUGGAACGCAUCAAUCGAGUCACUUCCGGUUUCGGCUUUUGUGUUCCACUAGUGGAACGCAUGCAAUAUUCCUCCGGUUUUCGUGUGUUUAGAU